UACGAGGGGUGCAAGCGUUGUUCGGAAUUAUUGGGCGUAAAGGGCAGGUAGGUUGUCUUGAAAGUCUACUGUGAAAUCCCCGGGCUCAACCCGGGAAGUGCGGUGGAUACUCCAAGACUAGAGUACUGGAGGGGUGCGUGGAAUUCCCGGUGUAGCGGUGAAAUGCGUAGAUAUCAGGAGGAACACCUGUGGCGAAAGCGGCGCACUGGACCACAACUGACGCUGAGGCGCGAAAGCUAGGGGAGCAAACAGG
rnacentral:rRNA from 1 species